CCAGAGGAUGGGCUGAGGGGAGAACGAGGAUGGUAUGGAAAAGGGGGUUAUGAUUCCAUUGGUCGUCUGUCACCAGCAUGCUCAUGAUAAACACCUAAUAAGCACAGAAUGACGAUCAGCCAACUCUAAUGGUGCAGUCAUAGAUGGAAUUACAAAAAGUGCUUAUCGAUGUAUGUGCAGUAUUUCGAACCAAAACUCUGCACACAUAGACUCCAAG